CACCAGUAACUUGCCUUGGUUAUAAAGAAAAUAAAAAUACUAGUAAAUUGCCUUGCUUUUAAUUUUAAAGUUGUAUAGUACAGUUUAGCAAAAUCACAAAUCACAUAUGGUAUGAUAGGAUCAAAUAAUCUGUCAGACUUAAUGUGGAAGCAAUGGAUUAUCGUAGUAGUUCCUCUGGAUUCAGGAGUAACAGAGAGUGCAAAUACAAAAGAUUAAGAAAAGUAGGAAAGGAAAUGAUAUCUCCCAAAUUGCACAUAAGAAAUUCGAUAUUACAGAGGCCAUAAGCAAAAGAAUAGUUUGCUUAGCCCAUGAGCGCCAAGUUUCACAUGAGGCACAUAAAGUCCUUCACGCACCCCUUCUUUCUUCUUAAACAUGACCUUUUCCUUUGCCUUAUUGAAGUACACAUGUGUCACCUGAAGCAUAGAGUUUUAAUAGAAAUAAGUAUCACAACAAACGGCUGCUAAGCCUGUUAUUCCAUUAGCAUAGGCAACAAAGAAUAUUUAACAAAGAGCAAUAAAAAAAAAAUCCUAUUUCAUAAAUUGUGAAAUUGGUUUAUAGACAUAUAUAAUUAUAAAAUUCUUAACAAAUUGCUUGGAAUUGUGUUCAUUCAUACAAGCUAAACACCAAAACUAUUACAAUAAUUCCAAAUUAUCAACUUUUCGUCUAAUUAACAAUUGAACUAUUGAAGUAUACAAGGAAUUCAAACUCUUCAUGACAAAUAUCAAAUUGAAAUCUACAUUAAUCAUUAAAACCCUAAGUAGAAAAAAAUCAUCAUACCUUAUUGAACGGUUCUCUUACAAGUUACAAACGAUGAAGUGAUGAACAAGAGAAUCAACCUGAGAUUAAUGCUUAGUAGUGAUGAAUAAGAGAAUCAACUUGUUAUUAGUAGUAGAAGAAAAUGAAGAGAAUCAUCCAUUGUUGGCUUGUUGCGGCCAAAGAGAAAGAAAGAAAGAACAAUGAAAGGAACAAAUCAGGGUAUUUAAAUGUGGGCUGAAAUUUAGGGUUUAGUUAACGGGUUUCGGGUUUGACCCGACCUGUUAAUAUUCAGACCUGAACCUGACCUGUAUAUUAAUCAGGUUAACAGGUUCGGGUCAAAAUGACCCGCCAACCCGAUAAGGCUGAACCCAAACCUGUUUAUCUCGGGUUGGGUUCGUGUCGGGUUAACAGGUAAAGCCUCCGCUACCUGUUAACAGAUAAAGCCUCCGCUAUCAAAAAAUGAUGAUGAAAAAUAUUUUUCCAAAACAGAUAAAGCCUCCGCUACCAUGCAUUUGGCAUCUUGGAUAGCUUGUCUAUCUACAAUAUUCGAACAUAAUAAGUUGACAAAUAAGCUGAUUUGGUGUAAAGCUCUUCGCAAGUCAUGGUGUUUUGGAAAGGCAUGUUGAAGCAUUACCGGUAGUAAGUAUUGCAUGAUCACAUAAUAUUCAUGGGUCUUCAUUGUGCGAAAGCUAAGUGUCUCAAGAAUCGAUAUCCUACCAACAUCAUUAGGGCAUCCUUUUAUCUCUAAGCAAUCAAAUAUACAUUAUAUUAUUAUAAAUUUGGAGGAAAAGGAGAUGAGGUUCAUUCAAAUUAACAUAAACGGAUAUGAAUAUAGCUAAAUAAAAACAAGAGUAAUCUAACAUAAACAGAUAUGAAUAUACCUAAAUCUCCUACUAUCUUCACCAAACCAAACAAACCUCCUAUGUCUAAUCCAAAAAUCAUGCAAAACAACUCAGGAAUUGCGUAAAAAUGUAAAAAUCUCAUUUAAUAUAUCGUUUUAGAUAUAAAAGGUAACACAGCUAGUUUAUUGUGCUAAGUGUCAAACACAAAAGUUUUAAUUCUGAGGUUUGCAACAGUUUUAAAAUAGCACAAAGGUCACCAGGUCUUUAUAUAUACCUCUUAAGCUAAGGGCAUCCCUAAUGGACCACCAAACAUCGUAUAAAACUCAAAUUUGGUGAAAAAACAAAAAAAACUCAUCUCUAAUGGAUCAUCAAAUUUGAGUUGGUAGCAAAGUUUUAUCAAAUUUUCAUCAAAUUUGGUGUUUUUAUCAAAUUUGAUACUAGACUUGGGCGGGCAAGAGAGAACCGCGCAAGUUGAGUGGCUUUUGAACACCCGCUUUAAGCGGUCCUUCAUUACCCGCUCAAGAGAACCACCUAUUAGUUAAGUUGAGCGGCACUCCAUUGCCCACUUAACAUUUGGAUUGUUUUUGUAAGCGGGUUCUCUAUGCCCGCCCUGUGUAAAAACAUAUAAAGAAAAUAUAGGCGGCUCUUCUUUGCCCGCCCAUAACAUGCAAGCAGAUGUUAAAGGCCCGCUUGAAAGAAGCGGGUUUUAAAAGACCACUUAAACAAAGUGGUUCUCUAUUGCCCGCUCAAGUUUGAUAAAACCAUUAGAGAGAACGAAUUUUAGUAGCAAAUAAAACACCAAAUGAGUAUCAAAUGUGCUUAAGUGGACCACCAAAACAAAAAAACCAUUAGGGAUACCGUAAUUUCUUUGAUAACAUGCAACAACUAAAGUAUACUACUGAAUUUUAAAUUCUACGCACACCUAAAUAUUUCUACAUAUAUCUAAUUGUGUACUUCACAGUUUGGUGUGUGGAAGCAUAAAAACAAUGCAAUCUUCAAUGCGACCAAGGUAUUAAGAAUGGCAACACAACAACGUAAGACACUGACCAAGGCAAGUAGGUUAUGGAUGAUCUGUGGCCUUAUCAAUAGUAGGGUGUUUAGGCAGACUGUUACCCUUAUACUGUGUAUUCUUUAUUUUGUAUACUUUAUGGGGUGGGUUUAGUAGGCAACACUCAGCAAUGUACACAGAUGGUUUUUUGGGAAAUCACCUGAAGAUGAUUUUAACAUGCAUGCUAAUUAAGCUUUGUGGUCUUAAUAAAAUUGUAGCUUUUAUUAAAAAAAAAAAAAUCUAAUUGUGUACUCAAAUCGAUGAGGUGACAUACUUAAAUAUUAAGGAUGUAGCUCUAGUCUUGGGCUUGUUUUAUGACCAGCAGAUUAACGCAUAUGGGCAUUGAGAAAUAAUGUUUUAACAUAUACCUAAGUUCAGCUAAAUCAAACACACAAUUUAUUAGAUCAUUAAUUCUCGCUUAUAAUGAUGCGUUAUUAGAAUUUAAUAGGUUAUAAUUGGUGUGGCUCACACAAUCUGGGAAAUUAUUCCCUAUGUUGUCUUUUGGUGCACCUGGAAGCUGAGAAAUGAAGCUGUGUUCAAUGGGAAGCAGAUAAGCAAAGUAAAAUUGUUUAAUCAUGUGAAAGGAACUGCUUGGAUGUGGCUGAAUAUAAGGCAGAAAAGUCUGGAGCUGAGGCAGUAUAUCCCUUUUAGCAAUCUGAUUUUUGACUGGACAGGUCUUAUGUUUGAACGGUGGUAAUUACAGAUCUGUGCAGUUCUAAGAGUGAGAAAGCAGGGUUGUCUAUUAUGUUCCAAGGCUCAAGUCUGCGGAAGGGUGAUGUAUCAGGUGACUGGAUGUGGCAGCUACUUAUUGCAGUUUGCCAGUAUCUGUAGUCUGCCUUUUUUGUUGCUUGUAUGUUCUCUGUAGAGUGUAUAUUCUCUAAGGGUUUUAUCUGACGUUGUAGCUAGUCUGCAGGCUAAUUAGGAUGGUGUAUCCUUUCUAUGGAAAAGUAAUAAAAUUAUAACUUCUAUAAAAAAGAAAAAAAGAUUUGAUUUUACUAAAAUCUACUUCCCCAAUUUAAGUAUCUACCUAUAUAUAAAAUACCAAGUAGAUAUAUGAGAAGAACUCACUAGUAGUUUUAUUAAUCAGUUUAGUGAACUCCUCGUUAUGAUGGGGAUGCAAGGCAAGGAACAAAUGGGCGUAAUCUCUCCUUCUUCUGGAAAAUCUGCCAUAAAAAAGUUAAAAUCAAGACAUAAACCAAGAACCCGCUUUCUUUAAACCAAUUUUCGCAAGUAAAGUCCUAAUAAACAAAUUAUAAUAAGGCUAAAUAGAGAAAAGAAGGAAAGUCAGCAUAGAUGUGUUAGGUACAAUUGUUUUGAUAAACAUAUGACUUGGCAUGCCUAUAGAACUGAACUUGUACAAUCAUAAUAACGUCAUUUAAUCAAAACUUUUUAAUAUAAUGAGGAAUCAAAAUUAUAUUAAGGAGUUUGUAAUGUCAAUUGAACCCAUCGCAAUCUGUUUAUCGAAUCAGACAUAGUCGACACAUCACUGAUGCUCAAAUUUCAUGUACAAAUCAUAUCAAAAUAGCAAAAGAAUAAAUUUUCAUCACCUCACUGGCCUAGGCAGUAUGAUAUAUUGCCAUUGAAUUUGCAUAGGUUUCUAAUUUAAUGGAGUCGACAUCACAACAUAACACAAAAGUGGAAAGCAUAUUUUAUUAACAUUUUCUGUUUUUGUAGAUAUGAAGUCAUAGUGUCAUUACAGUCAUUCUAGGCCUUUAAACCAAAAGUGGAUCGGUAUCUAGUAGAGAUGAAAUGAGGCUCUUUGUAAUAUUUGACUGGUAUUCUAAUGUUGAUCACUGUAUUUUUGUUUUGAUCGUUGUGUUAGUUUUGUAUGUAAUGAAGUAGAAAUCUAACAAUAAAAUCUUUGUAUACCUACAUUGCAAAGUCGCAUUACAGUCCUUUCUUCCCUGGUUUCAAUUGGAAAAAGGUGUGGACAAUACCUUGUCCACCACAAAUUAAAUUUUUUUGUGCUUCUGUGCUACACAUAAACUGCCAACUAAAGCUAAAUUAGCUUGAAAGUUAUAUGAGAUCACCCAGGUUUGUGUGUUGUGUGGUGUGGAAGUAGACUAUGUUAAUCACUUAUUUCAUAGAUGUUUAAGUGUCAGGCCUAUAUUAGAAAGAGCGCAUUCAGAACUGGGUGUUAAAUGGCCACGUACAUAUCAAAAUUCAAUCUGUCUAGCUUACCCUUUUUAAAAAGAUGAAUAGAAAUAACCCUGCUGCUUUAACUUUUGGGACUUUCCUCUUAUGGAUGUUGUGGAAGGCUAGGAACAGUAAAGUGUUUGAAGCUUCACCUUUUAAUCCCAACGAGUGUAUAUUUGGAGUUAUUAUAGGGGCUGCCAAUACAUACUUCAUAAUAAUUUUUUUUUUGGAGAAGUUUAGCUGGGAUUUGGCCUAGACCCCUACGUGUUUAUUCAAAAAAUAAUUAGGAUCUCUGAUACAAAUAACCCUCCCUAUCCUUACUGAUUAUUACAUUGAGCUAUCUUGGGAUGGGGUUAAAAGCAAAAAUACAAUCAUAAGUAGAGACUCUGAGUUUGGAUAACCAGUCAGCAGCUCCAUUGCAAUGAUGAUGUUGUAAUUAACGAGAUAAGUUUUAUGUAUAAAGUGAUAAGUGCAGCUUAUAACGACUGUCCACCUCAAAGAUUUAGACGAACAGUGAAAACAUAGGCAUUAUGUAUAUGACACAUUCUCUAGAUUUGAUAUGUGCGAUAUCUACAACUCAAUUAUACAUUCUAAAUUCUUGGCAACGACAAUUGGAUUUCUUACUAAAAUUUUCCGGCAUAACAAUUUGCUUACAACAAUUCAUACAGACAAAAAAUUAAACAAUUGGUGCUUGUGUAGUAAAAAAGAAACUAAUCAGAAAUUGAAUAACAUCGAGUGAGUGUUGUGUGUGUGAGAGAGAGAGAGAGCAACAAAGCUUGUUAUCAACCUUGACUUUUGUGAGAUGCAAGUAGAAAUCAAUGAACAUCAAAUACAUAAACCAGAACAAGGAAAAAUCAAAAUUCCAAAUUGAUUGAGAGAGAGGGAGAGAGAGGGAGAGAGAGAGACGUACCGGCAAAGCUUGUUGUGACCUCAGCUUUUGAGAGAUGGUAGUUUAAAUAGAGAAAUUGAUGAAGAGUUUUGGUAGGAAUCGAAGAAAGGGAAGUAGAUUCACAGCCAUUUAGAAGAAGAAUUCUAAAUUUUCACAUUUCUGAUCAUCUUCUUCUAUCCUUCUAUAGAGACGAGGACUUGAGGGUGUUGGGUUUUUAAGCCCUGACAUUACCAAUUUGCUUGUUUCGAA
rnacentral:lncRNA from 1 species